rnacentral:sRNA from 1 species
GGUCAGCGCCGCUUGGUUUUGCAUCGCGCCGCGGACGAAAUAAGUGAUAUUUUCGACCAUUAAUAAUUGUGUUUGUUUUAUUUUUGGUUGAAUCAUUAAUUAAUUAAUAGCUGUAAAUACGAAAGAGCAGCAGAAAAAGCAACAAACAACUGUGUCGCGGCCGUGGCGUGAGUUCAACUUUUUUUCUUGUGUGUGUUUUAUGCUUUUUUUUGUCUUCUGGGGAAUCGUGCAUUUUGAAGAGCGAAAGGAAAAAGCGAAAAGUGUUCAAAAGUGCGUCUGUCGUUAGCGAGAAGGGGGCGGUGGUAUGUUGUGGGGAGAGUCAGUAAAAGCGGUUGAUGAAGAAGAAGAAUGAGAGGAAGUUGUGGCGGGAGGCAUUCAAAUCAAAAAAUAUAUAUUCUCAGUCAAACGAAGAGUAAAAAGACAACAACAAAAAAUUAGAGUAAAAGCAACGGUAUAACAAAACAAGGAUCGGAGCAGCAGCGGCAGUGAAAAAAAAGAGAAGCAAAGCAGCAGGCAGUCGCACGACGCAGACGACGAUCAGCAGAGAGGAGCGGCAGCGCAACAGGAACCACCUCUCUCUCUCUCUCUCUCACACUCUUGUGCGCUCUUUCUCCCGCUCCCCAGAUACGGAUACAGAUGCCCGAAGUUUGCUUCACAGACAGUGCUUUCCACCAAAGAUCGUACUACUCCAUUGGGGAUCCAUGGGAUAAGCAGUGCAAAAACAUAUUCUAGGGAAAGUAAAUAUGAUAAUAUCCAGCGCUACGAUGGGCCUCGUGGCGCCAAAGCGCCGUUUAUUUGCAACGCAUCUCAGACGCUAAAAGCCAAAGAGAUAGAAUAAUAAUAGUAGGAGCCGCAGUCGCAGCGGUGGGCCAGUGCCAGGGCCAGCACCAGCACCAGCACUCCCCCCCUUCCGAACGCCACCCGCCCCCACCCACAAAUGAGGAGGGGUGGGCAACGACGGGCCAACAACAGGUUGAGGAGCACAUACAUAGGCAAAAGCCCACAACAAAAUCAAAAGCAAAUGCCAGAGCAAAGGCAAAGGCAAAAGCAAAAGCAACAAAAACACGACAAAUAGAAAGAAGCAGACAAAAUAAAACAGAGAAAACCACCAAAACCGCAAAAACAACAAGCAGAGAAGCCACCGAAAGAGAGCGGCAGACCAACCGACCGACCGACCGACCGACCGACCGACAGGACCGACCGGGCAGCCGUGAGAGUAAAAGAGGGAGAGAGUAAUCCAAUCAAAAACCAAACACAAACGCAGCAGAGCAGCAGCAGCCGAGCGGCAGCGAC